CUCUUAUCCAGAGCGGCGGAGGGACUGGCCCGAUGAUGCCCGGCAACCUGAUUGUUAUCGAGACAAUAAAGGUGCUAAUUCCUGCAGACACAUUGUUUCUGGCAGAUGAGAG
rnacentral:ncRNA from 2 species